UACGGAGGGUGCAAACGUUGCUCGGAAUUAUUGGGCGUAAAGCGCACGUAGGCGGCUUUCUAAGUCGGGGGUGAAAUCCUGGAGCUCAACUCCAGAACUGCCUUCGAUACUGGAGAGCUCGAGUCCGGGAGAGGUGAGUGGAACUGCGAGUGUAGAGGUGAAAUUCGUAGAUAUUCGCAAGAACACCAGUGGCGAAGGCGGCUCACUGGCCCGGUACUGACGCUGAGGUGCGAAAGCGUGGGGAGCGAACAGG
rnacentral:rRNA from 1 species